AUUGAACGCUGGCGGCAUGCUUUACACAUGCAAGUCGAACGGCAGCGCGGGCUUCGGCCUGGCGGCGAGUGGCGAACGGGUGAGUAAUACAUCGGAACGUGCCCAGUAGUGGGGGAUAGCUCGGCGAAAGCCGGAUUAAUACCGCAUACGACCUGAGGGGGAAAGCGGGGGAUCUUCGGACCUCGCGCUAUUGGAGCGGCCGAUGGCAGAUUAGCUAGUUGGUGGGGUAAAGGCCUACCAAGGCGACGAUCUGUAGCUGGUCUGAGAGGACGACCAGCCACCCUGGGACUGAGACACGGCCCAGACUCCUACGGGAGGCAGCGGUGGGGAAUUUUAGACGAUGGGCGAGAGCCUGAUCCAGCAAUGCCGCGUGUGUGAUGAAGGCCUUCGGGUUGUAAAGCGCUUUUGGCGGGAACGAAAAGGACUGUGCCAAUACCACGGUUCGAUGACGGUACCCGCAGAAUAAGCACCGGCUAACUACGUG
rnacentral:rRNA from 1 species